rnacentral:rRNA from 1 species
UACAGAGGGGGCAAGCGUUAUUCGGAAUUAUUGGGCGUAAAGGGUGCGUAGGCGGGUCUUUAAGUCAGGGGUGAAAUCCUGGAGCUCAACUCCAGAACUGCCUUUGAUACUGAGGGUCUUGAGUUCGGGAGAGGUGAGUGGAACUGCGAGUGUAGAGGUGAAAUUCGUAGAUAUUCGCAAGAACACCAGUGGCGAAGGCGGCUCACUGGCCCGAUACUGACGCUGAGGCACGAAAGCGUGGGGAGCAAACAGG